rnacentral:rRNA from 1 species
AUGAACGCUAGCUACAGGCUUAACACAUGCAAGUCGAGGGGCAGCAUGGUCUUAGCUUGCUAAGGCCGAUGGCGACCGGCGCACGGGUGAGUAACACGUAUCCAACCUGCCGUCUACUCUUGGACAGCCUUCUGAAAGGAAGAUUAAUACAAGAUGGCAUCAUGAGUCCGCAUGUUCACAUGAUUAAAGGUAUUCCGGUAGACGAUGGGGAUGCGUUCCAUUAGAUAGUAGGCGGGGUAACGGCCCACCUAGUCUUCGAUGGGUAGGGGUUCUGAGAGGAAGGUCCCCCACAUUGGAACUGAGACACGGUCCAAACUCCUACGGGAGGCAGCAGUGAGGAAUAUUGGUCAAUGGGCGAGAGCCUGAACCAGCCAAGUAGCGUGAAGGAUGACUGCCCUAUGGGUUGUAAACUUCUUUUAUAAAGGAAUAAAGUCGGGUAUGGAUACCCGUUUGCAUGUACUUUAUGAAUAAGGAUCGGCUAACUCCGUGCCAGCAGCCGCGGUAAUACGGAGGAUCCGAGCGUUAUCCGGAUUUAUUGGGUUUAAAGGGAGCGUAGAUGGAUGUUUAAGUCAGUUGUGAAAGUUUGCGGCUCAACCGUAAAAUUGCAGUUGAUACUGGAUAUCUUGAGUGCAGUUGAGGCAGGCGGAAUUCGUGGUGUAGCGGUGAAAUGCUUAGAUAUCACGAAGAACUCCGAUUGCGAAGGCAGCCUGCUAAGCUGCAACUGACAUUGAGGCUCGAAAGUGUGGGUAUCAAACAGGAUUAGAUACCCUGGUAGUCCACACGGUAAACGAUGAAUACUCGCUGUUUGCGGUAUACAGCAAGCGGCCAAGCGAAAGCGUUAAGUAUUCCACCUGGGGAGUACGCCGGCAACGGUGAAACUCAAAGGAAUUGACGGGGGCCCGCACAAGCGGAGGAACAUGUGGUUUAAUUCGAUGAUACGCGAGGAACCUUACCCGGGCUUAAAUUGCAGAUGAAUUACGGUGAAAGCCGUAAGCCGCAAGGCAUCUGUGAAGGUGCUGCAUGGUUGUCGUCAGCUCGUGCCGUGAGGUGUCGGCUUAAGUGCCAUAACGAGCGCAACCCUUGUUGUCAGUUACUAACAGGUUCCGCUGAGGACUCUGACAAGACUGCCAUCGUAAGAUGUGAGGAAGGUGGGGAUGACGUCAAAUCAGCACGGCCCUUACGUCCGGGGCUACACACGUGUUACAAUGGGGGGUACAGAGGGCCGCUACCACGCGAGUGGAUGCCAAUCCCCAAAACCUCUCUCAGUUCGGACUGGAGUCUGCAACCCGACUCCACGAAGCUGGAUUCGCUAGUAAUCGCGCAUCAGCCACGGCGCGGUGAAUACGUUCCCGGGCCUUGUACACACCGCCCGUCAAGCCAUGGGAGCCGGGGGUACCUGAAGUGCGUAACCGCGAGGAGCGCCCUAGGGUAAAACUGGUGACUGGGGCU